UACGAAGUGUGCAAGCGUUAAUCGGAAUUACUGGGCGUAAAGCGCGCGUAGGUGGUUCAGUAAGUUGGAUGUGAAAUCCCCGGGCUCAACCUGGGAACUGCAUCCAAAACUGCUGAGCUAGAGUACGGUAGAGGGUGGUGGAAUUUCCUGUGUAGCGGUGAAAUGCGUAGAUAUAGGAAGGAACACCAGUGGCGAAGGCGACCACCUGGACUGAUACUGACACUGAGGUGCGAAAGCGUGGGGAGCAAACAGG
rnacentral:rRNA from 1 species